CGUGCCCUAACCGGCGCCGCAACCGCCGCUGCCUCCCUCUCCUCUGCCCGACGUCGACGACACCCGGGAACAGAGAGUCGGCGAUUGAGCAUCUCCUCCCUCCCUCUUCCUUUCUUCUUCUCUGUCUCUGCCACUGAGGUCGGGAUGCGCCGCCGCCCCUCUCGGCCGGAAACUAUCUCCAAGCCGAAGCCCUAGCCGCGGUGAGGUCUGAGCCACCACCCGACACCUUCUAGCGCAGUCGACGCCUCUCCGCUGAACGCCGAAGACCACAGCAGGUGCCUAGGUGUCGCCCUAGUUUCCGAUCGUUGAUCACCAGAUUCGCUAAGUCAUGCCCUAAUCACUGCUUGCCGCCACCAGUUCCAACAAGGAGGAAGAACUGGGCAUUGAUGCAGUUUUCUGUAGUUUUGGCAGAAGAUCGUUGGCAGCAAUAUUCUCCAACAAGCAGUGACAUCUGUUUUACUUGGCUGUGGAUUAACAGGAGAGGUUUUGGGUUGAAGUCACUGUUUUCUGACAGCUCACAUAUCCGGCAGUGACCUAACAGUUGGGCACUCAGUUUUGGGGUUUGUUGAUUUGUUGCGGUGAUCUUGAUUCGGCUAAGGAUUUGAAAGAAGUGAGGUAAGGGUAGUUAAUUGAUCUAUGUUGUUAAUUGUGGUUUGAAUCAGAUGUGGUAAUUAGUUGAUCAUGUGUAGAUUGAUUAAAUUUAGAAUUAAUCUAACGAAAUGAUUAGGGUUAAGAUAAUUAACCCUAGUCAACUAUUGGAUUU